rnacentral:lncRNA from 1 species
CUUGUGGGCAUCAGCUUCUGGCAUCUGCAUUGCUGCUUCCAUGAGCAUGGCACAGCAGGUAAAAGAUUGCUUUUCCUUGUGUGACACAGGAGCUCUUGACUUGAAAGCUAGAGGGAUGCAAUAGAAAGAGCUGCAACCUCUGCCAGACAUGGCAAAGUGCCAAAAAAAAAAAGGAGUGUGUGCCCUCACCAUGGACCCCUCCAGCCCUCUUCUGCUGAGAUGGAGAAAUGUUCCAGCUUCUAGAAGGACAUCAGGACAAAGAUAUGUAAUGAAAACAAGUCCAGGCUGGCUGUCCUUGUGGGCAUCAGCUGCUGGCAUCUGCACUGCUGCUGGCAUGAGCAUGGCAAAGGAGGUAAAAGAUUGCUUUUUUUUGUGUGACAGAGUCUCUGUUGACUUGAAAGCAAGAGGUAUGCAAUAGAAAGAGCUGCAACCUCUGCCAGACAUGGCAAAGGUGAGUGGGAUGUUGUUUCCAUUGCUGCUGAUGUCAGGAAGGACUGUAAGGAUGGAAAGGCUGGUGUUUGCCAUGGGCAGGGAAACACAUCUGGUUUUCAUUUUCUCUUUCUCUUUGAGUGCCGGAUAAACAGGGGAGAGUGUGCCCUCACCUUGGACCCACUCUGCCCUCUGCUGCUCAGAGGGAGAAAUUUCCAAGCUUCUAGAAGGACAUCAGGACAAUGAUGUGUAGUGAAUAUAAGUCCAGGCUGGCUGUCCUUGUGGGCAUCAGUUGCUGGCAUCUGCUUUGGUGUUGCCAUGAGCAUGGCACAGCAGUUAAGGGAUUGCUUUUCCUUGUGGGACAGCUGUUAAGCCAUUCUGAUUCACCCUUUGCUUCCACAGCAUACAGUUUUUCCCACACUGCUGUUUCUAUCCAGCAGUGUGCAUAUGUGCAGUGGUACAGAGGUUGGUGGCCCUGCCUGUGGCAGGGAGUUGGAGAUUCCUGAUCCUUGAGGUCCCUUCCAACCCGGGCCAUUCUGUGUGUGUGUGUGUGACUGGCUAAACACCAAUUGUUGCUAGCUCAGCAGGUAUACUGCUAAUUAUUGGACGCCUGACAGCUGCUUAUCAACACUUGGCCACUAUUUCUGGACACCUGCUCAUCCCUGAAUAGAGAGAAGUUUGGAAGGAGGACAGAGGGGAGUCUCUUGAUGCCUGCCUGUUGCAUCCCAACCUGCCCACAGAGUGAGUCAAUUCGGCCUUGUGUGGAGGCCCUGGCUUCUUUGGAGUCUGUUUUUCUUUUGCUGAGCUUCUCCUAUCCAAACAGAAUGGCCUUACAACAUGCUUUCUGGUCCUUAAUUCUAAACCCAUGCAAUUUGUGACUAUUACAGUUCUGUAAGUGAGAAUUGAUCACAUGAUGUAAC